rnacentral:rRNA from 1 species
CCGAAAGGCAGGAGUGCCCGCAAGGGAGCGCGGAGACAGGUGGUGCAUGGCUGUCGUCAGCUCGUGUCGUGAGAUGUUGGGUUAAGUCCCGCAACGAGCGCAACCCUCACCUCUUGUUGCCAUCAGGUCAUGCUGGGCACUCUAGAGGAACUGCCCCGGUCAACGGGGAGGAAGGCGGGGAUGACGUCAAGUCAUCAUGCCCCUUACGUCCUGGGCUACACACGUGCUACAAUGGCCGGUACAAAGGGAUGCCACACCGCGAGGUAGAGCUAAACCCAAAAAGCCGGUCUAAGUUCGGAUUGGAGUCUGCAACUCGACUCCAUGAAGGAGGAAUCGCUAGUAAUCGCGUAUCAGCACGACGCGGUGAAUACGUUCCCGGGCCUUGUACACACCGCCCGUCACACCACGAAAGCCAG